AGAUUGAACGCUGGCGGCAUGCCUAACACAUGCAAGUCGAACGGUAACGCGGGGGCAACCCUGGCGACGAGUGGCGGACGGGUGAGUAACACGUAGGAAUCUACCCUGUAGUGGGGGGAUAACCCGGCGAAAGCCGGGCUAAUACCGCAUACGCUCUACGGAGGAAAGCGGGGGAUCGUAAGACCUCGCGCUAAAGGAUGAGCCUACGUCGGAUUAGCUAGUUGGUAGGGUAACGGCCUACCAAGGCGACGAUCCGUAGCUGGUCUGAGAGGACGAUCAGCCACACUGGGACUGAGACACGGCCCAGACUCCUACGGGAGGCAGCAGUGGGGAAUUUUUGGACAAUGGGCGCAAGCCUGAUCCAGCCAUGCCGCGUGCGGGAAGAAGGCCUUCGGGUUGUAAACCGCUUUUGGCAGGACGAACGGCGCGAGCGAAUAUCUCGCGUUAAUGACUGUACCUGCAGAAUAAGCACCGGCUAACUACGUGCCAGUAGCCGC
rnacentral:rRNA from 1 species